GGAAUCUUCCACAAUGGACGCAAGUCUGAUGGAGCAACGCCGCGUGAGUGAAGAAGGUUUUCGGAUCGUAAAGCUCUGUUGUUGGUGAAGAAGGAUAGAGGCAGUAACUGGCCUUUAUUUGACGGUAAUCAACCAGAAAGUCACGGCUAACUACGUGCCAGCAGCCGCGGUAAUACGUAGGUGGCAAGCGUUGUCCGGAUUUAUUGGGCGUAAAGCGAGCGCAGGCGGAAGAAUAAGUCUGAUGUGAAAGCCCUCGGCUUAACCGAGGAACUGCAUCGGAAACUGUUUUUCUUGAGUGCAGAAGAGGAGAGUGGAACUCCAUGUGUAGCGGUGGAAUGCGUAGAUAUAUGGAAGAACACCAGUGGCGAAGGCGACUCUCUGGUCUGCAACUGACGCUGAGGCUCGAAAGCAUGGGUAGCGAACAGGAUUAGAUACCCUUGGUAGUCCAU
rnacentral:rRNA from 1 species